rnacentral:rRNA from 1 species
CAAGCGUGGAUGAUGUGGAUAAUCGAUGCAACGCGAAGACCUUACUACCCUUGACAUGUCCGGAACUUGCCAGAGAUGGCUUGGUGCCCGAAAGGGGAUCGGAACACAGGUGCUGCAUGGCUGUCGUCAGCUCGUGUCGUGAGAUGUUGGGUUAAGUCCCGCAACGAGCGCAACCCUUAUCAUUAGUUGCUACGCAAGGGCACUCUAAUGAGACUGCCGGUGACAAACCGGAGGAAGUGGGGAUGACGUCAAGUCCUCAUGGCCCUUAUGGGUAGGGCUUCACACGUCAUACAAUGGUCGGUACAGAGGGUUGCCAAGCCGCGAGGCGGAGCCAAUCCCACAAAGCCGAUCGUAGUCCGGAUUGUUCUCUGCAACUCGAGAGCAUGAAGUCGGAAUCGCUAGUAAUCGCAGGUCAGCAUACUGCGGUGAAUACGUUCCCGGGUCUU